rnacentral:rRNA from 1 species
UACGUAGGGUGCAAGCGUUGUCCGGAAUUAUUGGGCGUAAAGAGCUCGUAGGCGGUCUGUCGCGUCGGACGUGAAAACCCAGGGCUCAACCCUGGGCCUGCGUUCGAUACGGGCAGACUAGAGUUCGGUAGGGGAGACUGGAAUUCCUGGUGUAGCGGUGAAAUGCGCAGAUAUCAGGAGGAACACCAAUGGCGAAGGCAGCUCGCUGGGACGGUACUGACGCUGAGACGCGAAAGCGUGGGGGAGCGAACAGG